GACGUAGGAGGCGAGCGUUGUCCGGAUUCAUUGGGCGUAAAGAGCACGCAGGCGGUUCGGCAAGUCGGAUGUGAAAACCAGAAGCUCAACUUCUGGCGUGCAUCCGAACUGCCGGACUAGAGGUAGGUAGGGGAGAUCGGAAUUCCUGGUGUAGCGGUGAAAUGCGCAGAUAUCAGGAGGAACACCGGUGGCGAAGGCGGACUCCUGG
rnacentral:rRNA from 1 species